rnacentral:rRNA from 1 species
GAUGGUAGUGUAUUGGACUACCAUGGCAGUCACGGGUAACGGGGAAUUAGGGUUCGAUUCCGGAGAGGGAGCCUGAGAAAUGGCUACCACUUCUAAGGAAGGCAGCAGGCGCGUAAAUUACCCAAUCCUGAUUCAGGGAGGUAGUGACAAGAAAUAACAACUCGGGUCCCUCUGGGACUGCGAGAUUGCAAUGAGAACAAUUUAAACCACUUAUCCAGGAACAAUUGGAGGGCAAGUCUGGUGCCAGCAGCCGCGGUAAUA